AUCACCCUUCAGGGACAUUUGAUAAAAUUGGAACAAUACAAAGAAGAUUAGCAGAGCCCUGUGCAAGGAUGACAUGCACAAAAUGAGAAAUUGUUCAAAUUUUG